CCCGCGUCUGAUUAGCCAGUUGGCGGGGUAACGGCCCACCAAAGCGACGAUCAGUAGCCGCCUGAGAGGGUGAACCGGCCACAUUGGGACUGAGACACGGCCCAAACUCCUACGGAAGGCAGCAG
rnacentral:rRNA from 1 species